AAAGGCUGGGAGAGGGGGCACUGGCCCCGGGAGCGGGGUCCCCUCCGCGCCCCCCGUGGGGCGUCGCUGCGCAGGGGGCGCGGGCGGUGCCGAAGGUGAAGCCGGCAGAGAGGGAACAAAGGCGGCGGGGAACAAAGAGCGGCAGCCUCCCAGCUAGGAACUGCUGGAGCCCUGUGCUCAGACUAAUGCUCUCACAGGUAUAUGGGCACUGCCAGCAAGGCUAGCAAGUGACUGCCAUGGCUCAGCCACUGUGGAAGAUGACCAGCUAGAAGCUGGGUGAGCAGGGCUCUCACCUACUGCCCACAGGUGUCCGAAAUGAGCUGCCUGGAUGGAUGCACAGGGCGCUGGGCAAAAGCCCUGCAGAGCAGCACUGCAGGCUACAAGCGGCGAUGGUGAAGGUAACUGUGGUGGGGAUGAGAAGCCCUCACAAUUCCUGCAUGCCUCCUGAACAAGCGCGUAUGAUAGUCCAGUGGUGUGUCUUGCCCCAGCCUUCCCACACCACCCUGAAGAGCAAACUCACAGAGCUGGAUGUCUUUUGUACAAGGCAUGCAGGUAUCUCGCACUCGCAGGUCCCAUGGAUGAACGGCGUGAGCUUCAUGGUGGGACAUCCCCUUUAUAAUGCAGAAUUUGCACAACUAGAUUCCAACAUCGGAGGGAAAUCAAAUGCCCCAAGUCCACUGGAUAAAGUGUUAAUUCUGAAGGAUAGUGAUGGCUGCGUAAACUAAGUUUGUUUGGAAACUCCAAGUCAUGUUUACUCUGUAGUCUGCCAGAACAAACCUUUGGCCUGGUGACCCUCCUCCUUCCCCUGUGUGCAACCCCCUGGGCCAUGCUGGCACGGUGUGUACGCUGGAGCUGGGAGCCAUAUUGAGGUUAGCCCAGAAGAAUACUUUGUUUUCAGCUGGAUUGCUCCCAGGAUUCGAUUGCAGUAUGGACACACAAAGAGGUAUGUCAGCACGACUAAGGGUGCAGCAGGAUCCAGCACAGAGACUGGAAAGCAUGGCAUAAGCUGGAGCUGGGAACAGGACUGUAGAGCAAAAGAACAAGGGACCAGCACCAUGCCAGAAAUCUUCCACCCUGCUGGUGCAGCAACACUGAGGAAAUAACGCCGUGGUUCUACAGACAUCAUUUUUGGUGGCAGCACUUUGAUGGAGCAGUUGGGUUAUGCUCCCUCCCUUGUGCUGGUGCAGCUCUUUGUGUCGUUCUGUCAUCAAAUGGACCAGAGACUGCUUAAAAAAAGCAGCACCCUCCCCACCGCAGUUAUUUUUACCUUGACUCAGUUUCAAGGCACAAUUCACCUGUUUCUACCCAGGUGCAACUGGAGGGAGAAUGUUGGAGUGGGCAAGUGUAGCCAGGAGCAGGCAAACAGGGGUCUGCCUAAAUCCACAGUGCCCCUCCAAAAAAAAAAAAAAAAGCCCAUGGCCUAAUG